rnacentral:rRNA from 1 species
UACAGAGGGGGCAAGCGUUGUUCGGAAUUACUGGGCGUAAAGGGCGCGUAGGUGGCCUUCUAAGUUGAACGUGAAAUCCCUGGGCUCAACCCAGGAACUGCGUCCAAGACUGGGAGGCUUGAAUCCGGGAGAGGGAUGUGGAAUUCCAGGUGUAGCGGUGAAAUGCGUAGAUAUCUGGAGGAACACCGGUGGCGAAGGCGGCAUCCUGGACCGGUAUUGACGCUGAUGCGCGAAAGCCAGGGGAGCAAAGCGGG